rnacentral:lncRNA from 1 species
AUGCUCAUGAAUCCCCCUUCUUUAUGGCUUCUCUCUAGAUUUCUAAGAACCCAAGAUUUCUGCCUGUGCCCCCAUUUCUCUCUUGGCCCUUUGGAGGCCUGGGAGACCCUCAGUGUGACUCCCUCUCUAACUUCUGAAAGGAGUGCAAAGCCUCAGGGAAGUUCUAAGAAUCACUCUUACGCCAGGGCCAUGCUGGUAUUGACCAGAGCAGGGCUUGUGAUGAUACAAUUCACCUCCUCAUUGGCUGCUCUUUUUGAAGAAAACAAAACUCCGAUUUCUGUAUGGAGUUGAGCUUGUGGUCCACGUGGGAGGGGCGAGAGGCCUUGCAGUGGAGCGGACUUUGCUUUUCUCAGGGAAGGUGUGUGGCAGGUGAGGCAUGUAGUCGUGCUGUGGAGAUGAAAGAGUGGGGGCCACUGUAUUGUUUUCUGCAUUUGAGCCAGAGGCUAAACGUAGCCUUCCUUCCUCCUGGCUAAUAAAUAGGAAAAUAAAUUACCAGGGCACUAAAAGUUGCAUUAAGCAAAUAAACAUUUCGGCAAGAAUUAUAUGUGACAUUCAAGAGAAAGCAAAUAAACCCUAAGUUAUGGGGACCUGUCAAAGCUCUAGGAGAAUUAAGUAACUAAAAAUCGUUAGUAGCGUCUUCGACAGCUCUUAAACCUUCCCUGUCUCCCGCCCCUGCUCCAGGAGGUCUGAGGGAGGCCACGUGUUUCCUGUCUGUGUCUUCAGAGAAAUCCUUAGGUUCCUGGGGCCUCAGAUCUAGAGGAACCUCAGAAACCUUCCAGGCCAGUGCUUUCAAACACCAUUCUGUGGUAUCCUGGGGUGCGUGGGGGCACUGCAGAGGCAGCACAGCCUACAUGGGGAAGGAGCAGUUCUGAGGGCUUGGGGCGCAUCCUGCCCAAACAGAGAAGCUCCUCUUUGAUCUGUAUGGUGUUAAUAGGGGAUUAAUUAGAGUGGAGUGAGAAAUUCUUUUCUGGGAGAAUAAUUCUGCUAAGUGAUUUGAAAACCAUUGUCCUGGAGCAAACACACACCUGAUAAAGAAAUCUCCUCUAGAACACCGUGGUAAAUAAUCGUCUAACCUCUUCUUGAACACCUCCAGUGACAGGAAACUCAUUCCAGGAUUUCUACUCAGCCCCAGUGUUCUGCAUGACAUUCCCAUCCCAGGACUCUGCUGUCAGAAGGCUUGAGCUCUAGUCCAGGCUCUGCCAUUUACUCACUGGUGAAUGUUGGGCAGUAACUGAAGCCCUCUGAGUCUCAGGUUUCCUAUCUGUAUAAAGGAGAUGAUAUGGGGCCUGGCGCCGUGGCUCAUGCCUGUAAUCCCAGCACUUUGGGAGGCUGAGGUGGGAAGAUUACUUGAGCCCAGGAGUUCAAGACCAGCUUGGGUACCAGUAAGAACUUGUCUCUACAAUAAAAUAAAAUAAAAUAAAAUAAAAAAUACAAAAAUUAGCCUGGCAUGGUGGUGCACACCUGUAGUCCCAGCUACCAGGGAGGCUAAGGUGGGAGAAUUGCUUGACCCUGGGAGGCAGAAGUUGCAGUGAGCUGUGAUCAUGCCACUGCACUCCAGCCUGGGCAACAGAGAGCCUGUCUCAAAAAAAAGGGGAGGGUGAUAUAUAUUUUUCCUGCUGCUGUGACAAAUUACAACUAACUUAGUGCCUUAAAGUGACACAAAUGCAUUAUCUUUCAGGUUUCAGGAGACUGAAAUGAGUCUUAAGGGGCUAAAAUUAAGGUGGCACCAGGCAUCAGGGUUAUGUUCCUUCUGGAGGCUCUAGGGGAGAAUGCUUGCUUUUCUAAAAGCCACCUGCAUUCUUUGUCUCAUGGCCCCUUCUCCCAUCUUCAGGCACAUUUCUCUAGUCUCUUUUGUCAUCACAUCUCCUCUGACUUGGGCCCUCCUGUCUCCCUCUUACAAGAAUCCUUGUGAUGACAUUGUGCCUGCCCAGACCAUUAGAGCCUCUUUCCAUCUCAGGAUCCUUGGCUUCAUCACACCUGCAGCGUCUCUUUUGCCAUGUUAGGGAACAUAUCCUAGGUUUAGGGGUUGGGAUGUGGCCAUCUUCAGGGGUUGUUCUUAUGCCUCCCGCAUAGUGACAGUGCCUGCCUCAGGGGACGUCUGUGAAGGUGAACCGCAAAACCACAGUAUUCACAGGACAGAAGAGUAUUCCAUAAUGGAGGAGUCGCAGGUGGGGCUGGGAGAAGGCUGAGAAUGCAGCCCCCACAUCUAUUCCCAGACGUACUUGAUCCAUAGAUGCACACGUGGGAUCCCACUCAGGAAUAAUGGAAGUAAUCCAUCCCAUUUGUGUGGCGCUUUACAGCUUCAUCAACAACAUCACAUUAUUGUGUUUCAUUUGCAUAAUCAGCUUGUUCUGGAGGAGUGUACUCUUUGGCUUUAAAGAUGAGGAUGCUGAAGGUCACAGAAGCCCAGAGACCUGCUUGAGGCCCAUAGCCAGUGGGAUCUGAGCAGAGAUUUGAACCCCCGUCUCCUGACUGCCAGGGAUCUGGGGGUUUCCCACAGACCCCCAUAGACUCAGAGAUGACUGGUCUGCCCAGCAGGGAUGUGUUCUUCAACUAAACAUUGAUGAGGCUGAGAUUUAGCUUUGCUCUCAGGCCAGGGCACAGGGCUGGGUGCAGAGCCUUCCGUGGGAAUCCAGGAAACAGAAGGGAAGCUCUAUGGGGCCCAGGGUAUCAUUGCAGGCUGGGUUAUACAGGGAUGGGAAUUCCAACUUUAGAUCUAAGAACUUUUCCUUUUUCAGAGGAAAAGAAGGUCCUACAUUUCUCACUUAGGUGUCUCAUCAAAGACACAGCCAUUGGGCCCCGACAGUGAGAACUGGUUUAGAAACCUCAGGUGGGAUCCCAAGGCAGGGUCCUCAACAAGGCUGGCCUCCAGACUUUCAGAAUCUCAUAGCAACUAGCAUGUAGAUGGCACCUACUAUGAGGUCCAGGCUCUGUUCUCAGCAAUUUACACGGAACAGCUCAUUGAGUUCUCACAGCAGCCUUGGGAGGAAGGCACCAUUGUUGUCUCCACCUUACAGAUGCAGAAAUUGAAGCCCCAAUUCCAAUCCCUGGAACUGGGAUUCUAGCCUGGAGGGAGUUCACUCUGUUAACCACCAUGAUACUGCCUGUCUGUGACAAGACGAGAGGGUGGACCCUAGACCUGAGGUCUCAGGUGUACUAGUUGCCAGAUCCCCUGCUUCCCUCCCAGGUGAUGGGGGUGGAGAAGUAGGAGGCAGGACCACCCCAGCUCACACUUUCCUUGCCUUGGUUGGCCCCAUCUUGCACUUUUGCUCCCACAAGGCAAUGGGAGUCAUAGGAGGCUGGACCAGCAUUGGGCUGAGCUGCUACUGCUCCCUCUGGCACGCAUGACAGUGGGGUGAAGCCAGGGAGGAUAGGGUGAAUCACGCAGCCACUUCACUCAGACAUGUCUGGGUACAAAUCCCAGCUCCGUGAGACCACUUGACAUGCAGUAUCUCAUUCAACCUUC